ensembl:lncRNA
AGUGUUCCCUUCCCAUCCUUUGUGCCUACAUCAGGUCCUAACCGUAGUGAUUCCAUUGUCUGGAGCCCCUGGUAAAGGCUGCACUCAGGAUGGGUCCAUUGCAAUGCAAGCUGCAGAGCCUGACACAGACCUUGACCCCAAGUACUUGGAGGUGUGUAAUAUGACCUGCUGUGCCAUGACACCUGCUGAAUGCAGUCACUCUGGACAUGCUUGUUGCCUCCUGCUCUCCAAGAAAACAAGAGUGAUGCAAACAACAGCAGCCAUUCUGCCUAAGAAAUGUUGGAGCUUCUUCUUGAUGAUACAGCUUUCGCUUUCUGUGUUCCUCAUUCACUCCACAGUGGGACAGCCUUUUGGUGAAUGUGCUGGUGUUGAGCAAGGGACAGAAAUGAAGAGUGCAGUGCAUGCAGCAGGCAAAGCUGCACAAACCCCUUUUGGAAGGAGAUGGUCACUGUCACCAGCACAGUUCCUUACAGGGACUGUGUACUUCGCUGCUGCAUCUCACCGUCGCCUGCAGACUCAGCUUUGUCACCCAUCAUCGCAGCACAAAACAUCGGAGAUGGGUAGAUGGGAGAGUGAGAAGGUGGAACCAGGAAGCGCCAGGCUCUGGGGCUCAGAGCAAUGGCUGCAAGGUAUUCAGCUGUUGUCUGCCUUACCGGAGGAUAAAUACAACCGCGUUGCUGUCUGCAACUCCCCUGAAAGCAGGCUAUGGUUUAAGGGGCUGGGGAAAGGAUUGGGGUGGGCAGUUUUCAUCAUGAGCAGGCAGGCUCCCACCUGCUGGAAGCUUCGGCCCCACCCGGAGAUCAAGCAGGCAGGAAUAGCAAGAUUUUUUUGCAUCACGUCGGGUUCACCUCUCAUUCAAAUGCAUCAUCACAGAUAUCAGCUCUGACAGCUGCUCUCUGUGCAAUGAGUGUGCAGCGUUCGGGUCAUCGAGAUCAAAGCCUGUGUUUGUCCCCGGACUUUCACCAAUUAAGAAGAAAAAACAAUGCUUAUCAGGAAAGCCUGUGUGAAGGACACUUCUCCAGUGAUCCCUGCUUUUCCAUUGCUCUCCCUUGCUCAGUGCUAUUUUCUGCAGCAGUCCUAUCUGGAAUAAACCCGUGGGCAGUGCCUGGCACCGAGGUGUUCUGGGGGAUGCACGUUUCCUUAGGGGGAAGGCAGGAAGGAAAAAGGAUGUGCUGGAGAUCAGAGUGCUGCUUCCAGAGCUGCAGAAGUGGUAUGAAGUGCCUGAGGUCUGGAGAAGGUGAAGCCAGACAACUGAAAAGCAAGAGAGCAGCGUGUAGAGAAGAAGGCGGGAGGAGAGACAAUGAAACAAAAUCCUAAGCGCAGGUUUAGCAGCAAUUUUUAAAUCCAAUUUUCCUAUCAUGUGAUUUCUAACAGCUUGCAAUCAGCUCAGUGCUUGUGCUGUAUGAGCAGGCAUUUGACCAUCUCUGCUGGUUCCACGCUUGUUACCACCGGUUCCCGAAAUCCCUGCCCGCACAGGUGCGUCCCUAAUGGGGAAGAAAUGCGGCUGUACCUCUGGGAAAUGCAUGGGGAGAGUGCCGCUGCGUGGUGGCACGGGGAAUUCCACUGCCCCUUCCCUCGGAGUGCUCCGAUAGAUGGCAAAGCGCUGUGUGCGUCCUGGGGCGCGGGGCUGCCAGCAGCAAAGGGUUCGCAGCGCCGCUUCCCGUUGUGACCCGGGGGUUUGAGAACGGGAUUCCAGGUCGCCAAACAAAAAAAAGCAGUUUACAUUUGCGACACCGUUUUCGGUUGGUAUAAAUGCGUGAGCUGCACGUUUUCAAAUGGCUGUACUGAAUUGCAGUCGGAUAUUCAACUCAAAAAUCUGAUCGUGUCUCUCUGCUGGACUUUCAUAAUCUUAGAAGGGAGAAAUAUCCCUCACUUCACAAUCACACCUUAUUCAUGUCUUCGCUUUUUGGUGCUGCGGACGUUUGUGAGCAGCCGUUUCCAAGGAUGAAGGGCAGGAAAAGUAAAAUUUCAUCAGAAAUCUCUGAUGAGCAUCUUGACACCUCACUAAGGAUUGCAAGCACGGCCGUGGAACCAGGCCGAGCCAUCAGCUGCACAAACACAAGCACGGGGUCAGACAUCCCACGGGUUUCACGGUGUUGUUGCUCUCUUUCCUUU